AACGAACGCUGGCGGCAUGCCUAACACAUGCAAGUCGAACGAGACCUUCGGGUCUAGUGGCGCACGGGUGCGUAACGCGUGGGAACCUGCCCUUAGGUUCGGAAUAACUCCCCGAAAGGGGUGCUAAUACCGGAUAAUGUCUUCGGACCAAAGAUUUAUCGCCUUUGGAUGGGCCCGCGUUGGAUUAGCUAGUUGGUAGGGUAAAAGCCUACCAAGGCGACGAUCCAUAGCUGGUCUGAGAGGAUGAUCAGCCACACUGGGACUGAGACACGGCCCAGACUCUUACGGGAGGCAGCAGUGGGGAAUAUUGGACAAGGGGCGAAAGCCUGAUCCAGCAAUGCCGCGUGAGUGAUGAAGGCCUUAGGGUUGUAAAGCUCUUUUACCCGGGAUGAUAAUGACAGUACCGGGAGAAUAAGCUCCGGCUAACUCCGUG
rnacentral:rRNA from 1 species